ACGGGUGAGUAACGCGUGGGCAACCUGCCUGUUACAGGGGGAUAACACAGGGAAACUUGUGCUAAUACCGCAUAACACAACGAGGUAGCAUUACCUUGUUGUCAAAGGAGUAAUCCGGUGACAGAUGGGCCCGCGUCCAAUUAGCUAGUUGGUGAUGUAACGGACCACCAAGGCGACGAUUGGUAGCCGAACUGAGAGGUUGAUCGGCCACAUUGGGACUGAGACACGGCCCAGACUCCUACGGGAGGCAGCAGUGGGGAAUAUUGCACAAUGGGGGAAACCCUGAUGCAGCAACGCCGCGUGAAGGAUGAAGGUUUUCGGAUUGUAAACUUCUUUAGUCAGGGACGAAUAAAUGACGGUACCUGAAGAAUAAGCCACGGCUAACUACGUGCCAGCAGCCGCGGUAAUACGUAGGUGGCGAGCGUUGUCCGGAAUUACUGGGUGUAAAGGGCGUGUAGGCGGGAAUGUAAGUCAGAUGUGAAAUCCCAGGGCUUAACUCUGGAGCUGCAUCUGAAACUAUGUUUCUUGAGUGCCGGAGAGGAAA
rnacentral:rRNA from 1 species